rnacentral:rRNA from 1 species
GGAGUUAGCCGGUGCUUCUUCUGUGAGUGAUGUCCUUCCUGCCGGUUAUUGACCCGCAGGCCUUCUUCCUCACUGAAAGUGCUUUACAACCCGAAGGCCUUCUUCACACACGCGGCAUGGCUGGAUCAGGGUUGCCCCCAUUGUCCAAUAUUCCCCACUGCUGCCUCCCGUAGGAGUCUGGGCCGUGUCUCAGUCCCAGUGUGGCUGAUCAUCCUCUCAGACCAGCUACGGAUCGUCGCCUUGGUGAGCCGUUACCUCACCAACCAGCUAAUCCGACAUAGGCUCAUCCGAUAGCGCGAGGCCCGAAGGUCCCCCGCUUUCCCCCGUAGGGCGUAUGCGGUAUUAGCCUGGGUUUCCCCCAGGUUAUCCCCCACUACCGGGCAGAUUCCUAUGCAUUACUCACCCGUCCGCCGCUCGCCACCAGGGAGCAAGCUCCCCGUGCUGCCGCUCGACUUGCAUGUGUUAGGCCUGCCGCCAGCGUUCAAUCUGAGCCANAAUCAAACUCUGA